AUGCUGGCCGACCCCCGCAGACCUCGCGGUGAGCGACGCCAACCCUGCCUCCCUCUCCCAGGAGCGGACCAUGAAGAGUCUGGGGGCAGAAGGGAGGGGAGACGAGGAGGGAACGGCCGGGGGCUGCAGGGCACGCUGGGGUCGGCACCGACCGCUGGAGGGAGGCGAGUGGCUGCUUCUGGGGGGACAACAAGCGGCCGUGGAAAGCGGUGCCCGAGGCGGCGGGGGUUCGGUGGGUCGCACUCACCGACGACGCGCAGCACGUUCCGGGAGCGCCAGGUGCGCGGGACAGAGCGCCGGCCCAGCUGCGGAGCCCGCCCCGCCCCGCCCCGAGGACGCGUGCGCGCAGGCCCCGCCCCUCGCCCGGCCCCGCCCCUCGCUCCCCCUCCUCUGUGGUUCCUGCCGAGCCGGCUGCGGCGGCGAGAACCGGAGACCCCGAGCUGCGGCGUCAGGGUUCCUGCUGAAACCCUGCCCCACCAUCUCCAGCCCCGUCAGUCAUUAAAGGUCUCACCUCUGCUGCUACCGUCACCAUCGGCCUUGGGCAGAUCAAGGCCACCCCAUCACCGUCACCGCCCUUGUGCACGCGGAAGCCUGUCUUACAGACUCUGAGGAUUAGGACCAGGGACCAGCCGUCUGCAU
rnacentral:lncRNA from 1 species